AUACGGAAGGUGCAAGCGUUGUUCGGAUUUAUUGGGUGUAAAGGGUGUGUAGGCGGCAUAACAAGUGGGAUGUGAAAUCUUCUAGCUCAACUCGGAAACUGCAUUCCAUACUGUUAAGCUAGAGUACCAAAGAGGCAAAUGGAAUUUUCGGUGUAAGGGUGAAAUCUGCAGAUAUCGAGAAGAACACCAGUAGCGAAGGCGAUUUGCUGGGUGGAUACUGACGCUGAAACACGAAAGCUAGGGUAGCGAACGGGAUUAGAAACCCCGGUAGUCC
rnacentral:rRNA from 1 species